rnacentral:rRNA from 1 species
CCUACGGGUGGCUGCAGUGAGGAAUAUUGGUCAAUGGACGAGAGUCUGAACCAGCCAAGUAGCGUGAAGGAUGACUGCCCUAUGGGUUGUAAACUUCUUUUAUAUGGGAAUAAAAUGUUCCACGUGUGGGAUUUUGUAUGUACCCUAUGAAUAAGGAUCGGCUAACUCCGUGCCAGCAGCCGCGGUAAUACGGAGGAUCCGAGCGUGAUCCGGCUUUAUUGGGUUUAAAGGGAGCGUAGGUGGAUUGUUAAGUCAGGUGUGAAAGUUUGCGGCUCAACCGUAAAAUUGCAGUUGAAACUGGCAGUCUUGAGUACAGUAGAGGUGGGCGGAAUGCGUGGUGUAGCGGUGAAAUGCUUAGAUAUCACGAAGAACUCCGAUGGCGAAGGCAGCUUACUAAACUGCAACUGACAUUGAUGCUCGAAAGUGUGGGUAUCAAACAGGAUUAGAUACCCGGGUAGUC